rnacentral:lncRNA from 1 species
AUUACAGGCGUGAGCCACCACACCUGGCCAGGGCCGUGUUUUGACUUGGCUUCCGUCUGAGUGCCUGGGCUGCUCACUGGUGGUUCCGCAUGAAGCCCCGGCGCUAGGUCUGUGGAGGGCAUGUAUUGAGCGGGUGAGCGCGCGCUGAGCGCCUCUGUGCUGCAGCCGUGGCUGGGGGCCGGGGCUCUCCACCCGCCUCCCGCGUGGUUCGAGGCUGACUUCCCACCGCUUCUGCCUCUCGAUAAAUGAGGCUCAGCUGGUGGAACCCUGUGUUUCUCUUCAGUUCUAAAAGCUUGGGCUCAACUUGCUUGGCUCUCUGUGGCCUUCUUCUUAGUCCGCUGGUGCUGGCUUAGUCACACUAGCCGGGCAGGGCUCAGAUGGACGCGCCUGCUUUUCAGAGUGAAGCCCCAGUGUGCUCCGGACAAGGUGAGGCGGGGAGGGCAUCAACAUUUGCACCAGGUCCUAGAGAUCGCCUCGGGAGCGGCACAGGCCUGGGAGCACCCAGUCCUGCUGAGUCUCAGGUUUCUCUCUGGGCUGAGGGAUAGUGAGGGCUGAGGCUGGGUCCAGACCCUGCCUGGGGCUCCCCCGAAAGCAGUCUGGGGCUUUGGGGGAUGUGUCAGACUCUGUCGGGCUGGAACAAAUGGGCCUCAAAGGUUGGUUAAGUGCAGCCCCUGCCAAGAAGGCACGCUUCUGUAAUUUGCCAGACAGUCCUCAGCCCCAGAAUGCCUCUGGGAAGGAGACAGAGCAGCGCGUGGCAAAGCAGAGGCGGGGAGGAGGAGGAAGCGGGAGGAUGAUCUGGAGGAAGGCCUACAGCAGCUUUCCAUUCUUUCAGCCCUGAGCCCCCGAGUCUCCGCCUCGCAUCCGUUCGGGCGCGGUGUAAACUCCACGCCUGAGCUCCACGAGACACGGCGGGGCGGAGGGAGGAGGGAGAGACCAGUCCACACACAGGCGUACCUUAUUAUAUAGAAUUUGUACAAUAUAUUUCUUUUCGUUUGCAUAUUUU